rnacentral:rRNA from 1 species
UACGUAGGGUGCGAGCGUUAAUCGGAAUUACUGGGCGUAAGCGUGCGCAGGCGGUUUUGUAAGCCAGAUGUGAAAUCCCCGGGCUUAACCUGGGAAUGGCAUUUGGGACUGCAAGGCUGGAGUGUGGCAGAGGAGACUGGAAUUCCCGGUGUAGCAGUGAAAUGCGUAGAUAUCGGGAGGAAUACCGAUGGCGAAGGCAGGUCUCUGGGCUGACACUGACGCUCAUGCACGAAAGCGUGGGGAGCAAACCAGG